rnacentral:lncRNA from 1 species
GGACCUGGAGGAGGACCGGAGCAGGGAAAGGACUCUGUAGCGGACUCGGUGAGAGACUAUGGGGAAGGACCAGGAGCUGCUAGAGGCUGCUCGUACUGGCAAUGUGGCUCUGGUCGAGAAACUCCUAUCUGGCAGGAAAGGAGGGAUCCUGGGUGGUGGAUCCGGACCUCUGCCCCUGUCUAAUCUGCUAAGGCUGUGGAGUGAGUUUUACUUGCUUUGUGUAAGUAAUUCUGCGAAUGUCUUCGCAAGCCACCGUUUCCACCGACUGCAUCUUUAGGAUUCACAUCUAGAAGUGGAACUGCUCCUGUUGUGUUUCUCAGGUACACUGUAUUAUAUAUGCUGGACAGCUGAUUCUCACAACAGUCACAAAAGGCCAUCGCUAGCCUCAUCUUCCUCUAUGGGACGAGAAAUCAGGAAAGUUGCAUAAUUUGCCCAAAGUUAUACUUAGUAAGUAACAGAUCCGAGAUUCAGAUCUGGGCAUUUCUGACCCCAGAGGUCGUCCUCGUUGCUGUUUUGCUUCUUAGUUACGUAAGGAUCAAUGCCUGUCCUGGGUUAGAGAGUAAAAAUAGCAAUAUACCUUAGUAUAUAAAUAGUACUUUUCCUGUAAAAUUAUAUAGCACCUCAUCUCCAUUCUAGCAGCGUUCUCAGUUUUGUUUUCCUUUGUUGACAAGUUUCUCAGUAAUAGCGAUAGUUAGCUUUAUUUUUUUUC